rnacentral:rRNA from 1 species
CCCUGGAACGGGACGCCACAGAGGGUGAGAGCCCCGUCUGGCUGGCCACCGAGCCUCUGUAAAGCUCCUUCGACGAGUCGAGUAGUUUGGGAAUGCUGCUCAAAAUGGGAGGUAUAUGUCUUCUAAAGCUAAAUAUUGGCCAGAGACCGAUAGCGCACAAGUAGAGUGAUCGAAAGAUGAAAAGCACCUUGAAAAGAGGGUUAAACAGUACGUGAAAUUGUUGAAAGGGAAGCGCUUGUGACCAGACUUGGGCGCGGCGAAUCAUCCGGGGUUCUUUCNNNUGNACUUCGCCGUGUUCAGGCCAGCAUCAGUUCGGCGCGGGGGAAAAAGGCUUCGGGAACGUGGCUGCUCCGGCAGUGUUAUAGCCCGUUGCAUAAUACCCUGCGCUGGACUGAGGACCGCGCAUCUGCAAGGAUGCUGGCGUAAUGGUCACCAGCGACCCGUCU